rnacentral:rRNA from 1 species
CCCUUAGAUGUUCUGGGCCGCACGCGCGCUACAAAGAUGAAUUCAACGAGUUUAUAACCUUGGUUGAAAAGCCUGGGUAAUCUUUUGAACUUUCGUCGUGAUGGGGCUAGACCCUUGCAAUUAUUGGUCUCCAACGAGGAAUUCCUAGUAAACGCAAGUCAUCAGCUUGCAUUGAUUACGUCCCUGCCCUUUGUACACACCGCCCGUCGCACCUACCGAUUGAAUGGUCCGGUGAAAUCUUCGGAUUGAGACUUUGAUUUCUUCACGGAAAACGCUGUUUUAAAAAGUUGAUUAAACCUUACCAUUUAGAGGAAGGUGAAGUCGUAACA